UACGUAGGGGGCUAGCGUUGUCCGGAAUCAUUGGGCGUAAAGCGCGUGUAGGCGGUCCGGUAAGUCCGCUGUGAAAGUCGGGGGCUCAACCCUCGGAUGCCGGUGGAUACUGUCGGGCUUGAGUACGGAAGAGGCGAGUGGAAUUCCUGGUGUAGCGGUGAAAUGCGCAGAUAUCAGGAGGAACACCAAUUGCGAAGGCAGCUCGCUGGGACGUUACUGACGCUGAGACGCGAAAGCGUGGGAGCA
rnacentral:rRNA from 1 species